rnacentral:rRNA from 1 species
UACAGAGGUGCCGAGCGUUAGGCGGAAUCACUGGGCUUAAAGCGUGUGUAGGCGGACGUCUAAGUACCUUGUGAAAUCCCACGGCUCACCCGUGGAACUGCUGGGUAUACUGGGCGUCUUGAGCCACCUAGGGGCCAGCGGAACAAAUGGUGGAGCGGUGAAAUGCGUAGAUAUCAUUUGGAACGCCAACGGUGAAAACAGCUGGCUGGGGGUGUGCUGACGCUGAGACACGAAAGCCAGGGGAGCGAACUGG